UACGUAGGCAGCGAGCGUUGUUCGGAAUUACUGGGCGUAAAGAGUGUGUAGGCGGUGUUCCCAGUCUGUUGUGAAAUCUCCCGGCUUAACUGGGAGGUGCAGCGGAAACUAGAAUGCUAGAGGGUGGGAGAGGUAAGCGGAAUUCCUGGUGUAGCGGUGAAAUGCGUAGAUAUCAGGAGGAACACCUGUGGUGUAGACAGCUUACUGGACCACUUCUGACGCUGAGACACGAAAGCGUGGGUAGCAAACAGG
rnacentral:rRNA from 1 species